AUAAAGUAUCGAAUAUAAAUUAAAUAUUAUAUUUCUUAAAGAAAGUAUAGCCUUAUAGUGGGAUUUACAUAUUUUUGGUGCAAAAUUUGUAAAAAAAGAAAAAGAGAAAGAAAAAUCCUCCAAGUAAAUGCACUCAAAAUGCUGAAAAGACGUAUCCCAGAACGAAAGAAAACAACUUGCUUCGAUUCAGCUUCUCUAUUGUAUCUCCAGUUAUUUUAAAUGAAUGAGCUUUAACAAUUGUCUGCUAUUUCUUUCAAUAACCCCAUAAAAAGAAAUGUCCAGUCCAGAAGUCACCAUCACUCUUGGUCGUUCAGGCCAGGUAGUGACAAAGGGAGGCAAGAGGUCCAGGGGAGAGGGAUAUGAGAGCAAUGGUGAUAGCUUCUUGUCUUCUGCUAACAAAAGGUAUCGAGGAAAUGGUAUGAAGUGGAGUCCAAUCAUUGAUGGUGUUGAUGGAUCCCAAAUUGCUCACAAUGACCUCCGAUUGAAGCUGAUGCACAAAAGGCAGUCUAAGAAAAUUCACAAUGUUGUUGAAGAGCAAGGAAAAAUCAAACCUCGCAAAAAGCUGGUAACAGAAACUCAGCCUCCAAUAAGUUCUGUGAAUUCUUACAUGUUGCCACAUGGGCCUGAACCCAAUGGAAGUAAAUUCUCAAGAAAAAUACUUCAUAGAGAAAUUGCCGAGGGUUUGCGGCAGGUGGACUCCUUGGGGAAAUUUUACCCAUAUCAUACCAUGGAAGUAUCAAGAGCUAGAUCUCCACAUGAAAUCCAGAAAAGCUAUAGCAGGCCAUCUCCAACCAGGAAGUUUGAUGAAAUACAGAAGGUAACGCCCAUGAGAACUGCUGAUGUCUCAAGAGCGGGGCAAUUUUUGAGUGAUGAAGUUGUCGAUGCUUCUAGACUGAGAAGGGCUCCUCAUGUAAUAAUGAAAGCUACAUCUCAAGCUGGAAAUUUAGUAACACGAGUAGCACCAACAAGUGGCAUCAUGCAAGCAGUAUCACAUUUGGUACUGACUUUUAUAGGGCUUGUUAAUGUUGCCAUUUUGCCCAUGGAGAGGAACCUCAAACUGUUGCUCAUUUCUUGCAUUCUCUUGGUUUAGGGAAAUAUGUUGUCAAUUUUCAGGCAGAAGAAGUGGACAUGACCAUAUUGAAGCAGAUGGGGGAUAAAGACCUUAAAGAAAUGGGGAUACCAAUGGGACCAAGAAAGAAGAUUCUGCUUGCCCUCAUGGCACGCAUGAAAUGGCAAACAUCACGCGUGCAACAUUAAAUGGCUGUUCGCUGGAAGGGCUUAUGCUUUUGUAUUCAUCUAUCUGUUCGGUGAAUGAUCUUUUCCUGUGGACGACAAUGUUAGUUUGUAAUUGCCCUGCUUCCAAGGAAUGUAAAUGUUCAUGAAAAUGGAUACUGAUGAGACUGUUCUGAAAUUAUGUUGCCGUGUAGGGCCUUCUGCAUUUCAGUGAGAAAAUCACCAAUUGUAUGUGAAAUUUAUUUAUAUUUAUUGUUAAUGGUAUAUCUGUCGAGCUUUUGUGAUC